AGCUCGCGGAUUUAGCUCAGUUGGGAGAGCGCCAGACUCUAGAUCUGGAGGUCCUGUGUUCGAUCCACAGAAUUCGCAUUUUUUGGUAC
rnacentral:tRNA from 1 species